rnacentral:tmRNA from 1 species
ACCCUCAACAUGUGUGGCGUUAAAUCCCUAGCAAAGUGUUUUCUGUUGUUUCAAAUAAUAAGUUUUCUGGGGAAUCACAACUUAGUAUGGGUGCCCGGGGCGGCCCUUGGUGCGGCCGAGACUGUAGAGGGUAUUACAAGUAGAGAGAUGGAAAUAAAUGCUACAAAGGCACCAUCUAGCGGUGCAACAUUUUCAUUACUAGUAACUCUCUCGAACAACAAUCCCACUACAAUUAUGCGCCCCCCUGUGGCCCAAAAUGGUGAGAGUGUACACAAAGACGCCCGCAGCGCUUCCGCGUCCGAUCCCACCACCUCAGAACCAACUUCCCCAGGAGAGGAGCCAACGGAGGCUGACCCCAAAGCGGCACCGUCCGCUGGGCAUGUUGGGGAGACUGAGCCCGAGUCUCCAACCCCUCUACCCGCAACACCUAAACCCUCCUCACAGGAAGAUAAUCCAACUAUGACUCCCCCUACAGCAGAACCUCCCACCUCCAAUGCAGAUGUUUCUACUGAACACGUUGAUGAGACAGAACCCGAGUCACCAACCUUCCUCCCCCCUACUCCCGAACCAGACACCCCCACAACCCCGGAAACAACCACCCCUUCCCAAAAUCAGGAAGAUGAACCCACCCUAACUACUUCUUCAUCGGACGCUCCUGCUGACACAUCAGAUACCAGUCCUCCCAAACAAGAGGAUGACCCAGUAAAACCUACAGAGUCCAAACCCCAGGCUGAACCAAAGGACAAUUCUCCUUCCGAUGUACCUGAAACCGCUGACAGUCCGACAGAUCCCGCCUCCCCUACCGUCGAACUCACCCCUCCCACAGAGCCCCCUACCCCCGAAACCGUGUCUCCAGCCGAUUCCCCAGUUCCUCAACCAACUGCCCCAGCUGAACCUUCAAAGCCAGAACCUACACCACCCGUAGACCCGCCGGCUACUGAACCAAAUACCCCAGCUGACCCUUCUACCCCAGAGUCAACACCCCCCACAGACCCCCCAGCUCCUCAACCAACUCCCCCAGCUGAACCUUCAAAUCCAGAACCUACACCACCCGUAGACCCACCUGCUACUCCACCAAAUAUCCCAGCUGACCCUUCAACCCCAGAGUCAACACCCCCCGCGGAUCCCCCAGCUCCUCAACCAACUCCCCCAGCUGAGCCCUCUACCCCAGAACCCAGCACCCCCGCCAAAGCUCCCGCUCCUGAACCCACACCCCCACCAAGUGGACCAUCUAUGACACCAGAGGCGACACCGCCCUCUACAGCUGGACCUGGAGCCGAAACAGAGACGCCAGAUGGGGAUACCACCACUCAACCAGCAUCCCCCCAGACUACAGCGCCCAUGCACCCCGUUCCAGACAUUUCUACCCUGCUUUGGAUACGACCCACGAUCGCCAUAAUAUUGAUAUUUCUCCUUAUGACUAUCUUUCAUAUCAUGUACUGUGUGUGUUUACAUGAAUAAAAACCUGACAAUUUUGAUUAU